rnacentral:lncRNA from 1 species
GUAAAACGUCGGACCUGGCAGACUCUCUGUGCCUCAGAAUGGCCCACAUUUGGAGUCGGAUGGCCCCCAGAAGGAUGUUUCUACUUCCCACUAAUUUGAAAAGUCAGAGAUAUUGUCUUUGUCUUUCAGCCGGGACCACAUAGCCAUCCAGAUCAACAGUCAUAUAUCUUAACUUGGCAGGACCUCUGUGAAUCUCCUCCUCCAUGGGUGAAGCCUUUCCUUGUCCCUGCCCCCACUCCUAUUCCUUCCCCCACGAUUCUGUCUCUCAAACCCUCUGCUCCUCCUCCUCCUCCACCCUCUGUUCUCCCUGAGUCUCAAGAUUUGACUCUACUGGACUCUCCUCCCCCUCCUUAUCUCCUGCACUCAUCUCCCAACCCCCAACACCCUCUAAGUGAUUCCCGUGCUGCUGACUCAGCCUCUCCACCAUUGGAGGAAGCUAAGCUGGCCCAGUGCCCUCCAGAUGACUCCCCCAUGGCACACACAGCCCCUCCUCCCCUGGAGGAAACUGGCCCAGCUAAAAGAACUCAAAGAACUCGCCAGCGUUUUCACACCAGCCUACUUGGGAUGACUGCCAACAACUCCUAGGGACUCUCUUCAUGACAGAGGAACAAAAGAGAAUCCUCCUGGAAGCUAGGAAAAAAAUAUCCUUGGACCAGAUGGGCGACCGACACAACUUCCCCUUGAACCAACCCAACUGGGACCCCAACACCUUUGAAGGUAGGGAGCAUCUGUCCACUUAUCGCUGGGCUCUAAUAAUAGGUGUCCGAGCGGCCGCUAGGCGACCAACUAAUUUGGCCAAGGUAAGAGAGAUUAUUCAAGGGCCUGAUAAAUCUCCCUCUAUGUUUCUAGAGAGAAUUAUGGAGACAUAUAGGAGAUAUACUCCUUUCGAUCCUCAGGCAGAGGAUCAAAAGGCAUCUGUCACGAUGGCCUUUAUUGGGCAAGCUGCCCUGGAUAUUAAAAGAAAAUUACAACGCUUAGAUGGAUUACAAGAUAUGACUUUGAGAGAUUUAGUCAGAGAAGCCGAGAAGGUAUACUAUAAGAGAGAAACUGAGGAAGAGAAGGAACAAAGGAGGGAGAAAGAAAGGGAGCAAAGGGAGGAUGAAAGAAGCAAAAGACAGACUAAGGCAUUGACUAAGGUCCUGGUCACAACAACAAAUAGGCCAGAAAUUAAGAGACAGGGAGACAGAAAGGGAUACCUGGGCCCACGCCAGAAGCCACCUCUGGCCUCAGAUCAAUGUGCCUACUGUAGAGAAAAAGGACACUGGGCCAAAGAGUGCCCUAGAAAGAAACAGCCACGCCAGCCAGCCAUUCUAACUCUGGAGGAUGACUAGGAAAGUCAGGGCUCGGAUCCCCUCCCCGAGCUCAGGGUAACUUUUGAAGUGGAGGGGACCCCAGUAAACUUUGAAGUGGAUACAGGGGCAGUAUACUCAGCCCUUAAGGCCCCAUUGGGCCCUCUAUCAAAUAAAAGGUCUCUAGUUCAAGGGGCUAACAGCAGUAAAUAUCGGGCUUGGACAACUAAGAGGACCAUGGACCUGGGGAAAGGAAAAGUCCAUCACUCCUUCCUAGUGAUCCCAGAAUGCCCGGCCCCAUUGAUGGGCAGAGAUCUGCUCACCAAGCUCCGGGCCAGAAUAACUUUUAACCCUGAAGGCCCCCAAAUGGAAUUUCUAAAUCCUUCAGUAAAAACUCCUAUAGUCAUGGCUUUAACUAUGUCAGUAGAAGAUGAACAUCAACUCUUCACACCCCCCAAGACUGAUCAAACAGGCAAGCUAUCCCAGAAAUGGAUAACAGAUUACCCAGAUGCCUGGGCAGAAACUGCUGGGUUAGGCCUAGCCGUAAAACAACCUCCAAUAACAGUGGAGUUAAAAACCUCAGCCUCCCCAAUUAAUAUUAAACAAUAUCCUCUGAGCAAAGAAGCUAAAGAUGGGAUAAGGCCCCAUAUUCAGAAAUAUCUGGCCUUAGGGGUCCUAAGGCCCUGUCAAUCGGCCUGGAACACUCCCCUGCUACCAGUAAAAAAGCCAGGAACCGGGGACUAUCGCCCCAUUCAAGACCUAAGAGAGAUCAACAACAGAGUGCAGGACAUUCACCCCACAGUACCUAAUCCGUACAAUCUGCUUAGC